rnacentral:rRNA from 1 species
AGAGCGAACGCUGGCGGCAGGCCUAACACAUGCAAGUCGAGCGCCCCGCAAGGGGAGCGGCAGACGGGAGAGUAACACGUGGGAACGUACCCUUUGGUUCGGAACAACACAGGGAAACUUGUGCUAAUACCGGAUAAGCCCUUACGGGGAAAGAUUUAUUGCCAAAGGAUCGGCCCGCGUCUGAUUAGCUUGUUGGUGAGGUAACGGCUCACCAAGGCUACGAUCAGUAGCUGGUCUGAGAGGAUGAUCAGCCUCACUGGGACUGAGACACGGCCCAGACUCCUACGGGAGGCAGCAGUGGGGAAUUUUGGACAAUGGGGGCAACCCUGAUCCAGCAAUGCCGCGUGUGUGAAGAAGGCCUUCGGGUUGUAAAGCACUUUGUCAGGAAGAAAGGAUUCUACUAAUACUGGAGUCUGAUGACGGUACCUGAAGAAUAAGCACCGGCUAACUACGUGCCAGCAGCCGC